rnacentral:rRNA from 1 species
CAGUCGCCGCGGUAAUACGAAGGGUGCAAGCGUUACUCGGAAUUACUGGGCGUAAAGCGUGCGUAGGUGGUGGUUUAAGUCCGUUGUGAAAGCCCCGGGCUCAACCUGGGAAUUGCAGUGGAUACUGGGUCACUAGAGUGUGGUAGAGGAUAGUGGAAUUUCCGGUGUAGCAGUGAAAUGCGUAGAGAUCGGAAGGAACAUCUGUGGCGAAGGCGACUAUCUGGGCCAACACUGACACUGAGGCACGAAAGCGUGGGGAGCAAACAGGAUUAGAUACCCCUGUAGUCCCUGUCUCUUAUAA